UACAGAGACUGCAAGCGUUAUUCGGAUUCACUGGGCGUAAAGGGUGCGCAGGCGGCCGUGUGUGUCAGGUGUGAAAGCCCGGGGCUUAACCCCGGAAUUGCGCCUGAAACUACAUGGCUAGAGCAUUGGAGAGGGUAGCGGAAUUCACGGUGUAGCAGUGAAAUGCGUAGAUAUCGUGAGGAACACCAGAGGCGAAGGCGGCUACCUGGACAAUUGCUGACGCUCAGGCACGAAAGCGUGAGGAGCAAAAGGG
rnacentral:rRNA from 1 species